rnacentral:rRNA from 1 species
AUACGGAGGAUGCAAGCGUUAUCCGGAUUUAUUGGGUUUAAAGGGUGCGUAGGCGGAGGAGUAAGUCAGGGGUGAAAUGCCGCAGCUCAACUGCGGAACUGCCUUUGAUACUGCUUCUCUGGAGUUCGGAUGCCGUGGGAGGAAUGGGCAGUGUAGCGGUGAAAUGCAUAGAUAUUGCCCAGAACACCGAUUGCGAAGGCAUCUCACGAAUCCGAGACUGACGCUGAGGCACGAAAGCGUGGGGAUCAAACAGGAUUAGAUACCCUGGUAGUCCUCGCUGUAAGCGAUGAUUACUGGUUGUUAGCGAUAUAUAGCUAGUGACUGAGCGAAAGCAUUAAGUAAUCCACCUGGGGAGUACGUCGGCAACGAUGAAACUCAAAGGAAUUGACGGGG